GGUUAUUAUGUUCCUCUCGAAAUCAGAUGAGGAGACUACAUCUAACAGGAAACUUGCCAAGGAUUUGGUUGACAAAUGGAGUCGACCAAUAUUCAACAAGAGUACACGGUUUGAAGACAUGAGAAAUCUAGAGGAUGAGAGAGCUGCUCAAUACAGGCGGCCCUUGAAAAAACCCAUGAAUAAAGCAUCAGGAAUGGAAUCCAGAGACGAUGACCUUGACUUGGCUGGAUAUUCACAAGGGCAAAAAUCUGGUCAGUCAUCUGGUAGGCAACUUACAUCAAGGCCUGAAGCAAUGUCAAUGGAUUUUGUGGUGCGUCCACAGUCUAAGAUUGAUCCUGACGAAGUUAGGGCCAGGGCUAGAGCAAUGGUUCAAGACCAGCGCCGAAUGAAGAUGAAUAAGAAACUGCAGCAGUUAAAAGCUCCCAAAAAGAAGAAACUCCAAGCCACAAAACUGAGUGUGGAGGGUCGUGGCAUGGUGAAGUACCUCUAGGCUGUGUUUAUUGUGCUUGCCCUUGUUAGGGUAAAUAGCCUGUUGGCUCUGCUACACAAGGAUGGGUGUUCUUCUGAGCUUCGUAUCUGGACAGUGGCUAAUCAAAGUGCCUUGUGAAUGUGGGAUCAUUUUUGAAAUUAGUUUGAGGGCUUCUAGUAUGUUAUGCUGAUGAUCAGUCGUCAUUGAUUAAAUGGUGCCGCAUGUUAUCUACUUAUAUUAUUCCUUCCUUAGCAGCUUUCUGAGGAUGGCUUCUUCCUUAUAACAUGUUGGUGUGUCGCUGAUACCCAUUAAUUUUGGUUCCCUAAUAAGUUUCCAAGUCAUUGGUGUAAUGGAAGUCAUGGCUGUUGCUAUGGGUGAUGCGCAACUUGGAAUACUAUAUUAUUGCCGUUUGGCAUGUAUUAUGCUGUUUUCCUGAAGCUCUUUAGCUAGGUUUUCUACCCUUUCAUUUGCUUGUUUAGUAUUAUUAGCUUGUGAGUUGAGACAAAGAUCUUAUUCUUCUCCAGAAGGCAAAUUGUACUUUUUCCUGUUUUAGACUAAACAAAGUAUU
rnacentral:misc_RNA from 1 species